rnacentral:rRNA from 1 species
CGAGGGUGGCAACAGUUGCUCGGAAUCAUUGGGCGUAAAGCGCACGUAGGCGGCUCGUUAAGUCGGGUGUGAAAGCCCUAGGCUCAACCUAGGAAGUGCACUCGAAACUGGCGAGCUUGAAUAUGGAAGAGGGUCGCGGAAUUCCCGGUGUAGAGGUGAAAUUCGUAGAUAUCGGGAGGAACACCAGUGGCGAAGGCGGCGACCUGGGCCAAUAUUGACGCUGAGGUGCGAAAGCGUGGGGAGCAAACAGG